rnacentral:rRNA from 1 species
UACGUAUGUCGCAAGCGUUAUCCGGAAUUAUUGGGCAUAAAGGGCAUCUAGGCGGUUUGGUAAGUUCGAUGUGAAAAUGCGGGGCUCAACUCCGUAUUGCGUUGAAAACUGCCAGACUAGAGUUUUGGAGAGGUAGGCGGAACUACAAGUGUAGAGGUGAAAUUCGUAGAGAUUUGUAGGAAUGCCGAUGACGAAGGUAGCUUACUGGACAAAUACUGACGCUGAAGUGCGAAAGCUAGGGGAGC